UAAACGAUGUCUACUAGUUGUCGGGUCUUAAUUGACUUGGUAACGCAGCUAACGCGUGAAGUAGACCGCCUGGGGAGUACGGUCGCAAGAUUAAAACUCAAAGGAAUUGACGGGGACCCGCACAAGCGGUGGAUGAUGUGGAUUAAUUCGAUGCAACGCGAAAAACCUUACCUACCCUUGACAUGUACGGAAUCCUGAAGAGAUUUGGGAGUGCUCGAAAGAGAACCGUAACACAGGUGCUGCAUGGCUGUCGUCAGCUCGUGUCGUGAGAUGUUGGGUUAAGUCCCGCAACGAGCGCAACCCUUGUCAUUAGUUGCUACGAAAGGGCACUCUAAUGAGACUGCCGGUGACAAACCGGAGGAAGGUGGGGAUGACGUCAAGUCCUCAUGGCCCUUAUGGGUAGGGCUUCACACGUCAUACAAUGGUACAUACAGAGGGCCGCCAACCCGCGAGGGGGAGCUAAUCCCAGAAAGUGUAUCGUAGUCCGGAUUGGAGUCUGCAACUCGACUCCAUGAAGUUGGAAUCGCUAGUAAUCGCGGAUCAGCAUGUCGCGGUGAAUACGUUCCCGGGUCUUGUACACACCGCCCGUCACACCAUGGGAGCGGGUUCUGCCAGAAGUAGUUAGCCUAACCGCAAGGAGGGCGAUUACCACGGCAGG
rnacentral:rRNA from 1 species